AACGAACGCUGGCGGCAUGCCUAACACAUGCAAGUCGAACGAGACCUUCGGGUCUAGUGGCGCACGGGUGCGUAACGCGUGGGAACCUGCCCUUAGGUUCGGAAUAACUCCCCGAAAGGGGUGCUAAUACCGGAUAAUGUCUUCGGACCAAAGAUUUAUUGCCUUUGGAUGGGCCCGCGUUGGAUUAGCUAGUUGGUAGGGUAAAAGCCUACCAAGGGGACGAUCCAUAGCUGGUGUGGUAGGAUGAUCAGCCACACUGGGACUGCGACACGGCCCAGACUCCUACGGGAGGCAGCAGUGGGGAAUAUUGGACAAUGGGCGAAAGCCUGAUACAGCAAUGCCGCGUGAGUGAUGAAGGCCUUAGGGUUGUAAAGCUCUUUUAGCCGGGAUGAUAAUGACAGUACCGGGAGAAUAAGCUCCGGCUAACUCCGUG
rnacentral:rRNA from 1 species